CAAUAGCGUAUAUUAAUGUUGUUGCAGUUAAAAAGCUCGUAGUUGGAUUUCUGGUGGGAGCGGCCGGUCCGCCGUAAGGUGUGUACUUGGUUGUCUCCUGUCAUCCUUGUGGGAACUGCUCUGGCAUUAAGUUGUCGGGGUUAGGGAACACAUCGUUUACUGUGAAAAAAUUAGAGUGUUUAAAGCAGGCUUAUGCCGUUGAAUACAUUAGCAUGGAAUAAUAAGAUAGGACUUUGGCGUCUAUUUUGUUGGUUUGCACACCAAGGUAAUGAUUAAUAGGGAUAGUUGGGGGUAUUCGUAUUUAAUUGUCAGAGGUGAAAUUCUUGGAUUUAUGAAAGACGAACUUCUGCGAAAGCAUUUACCAAGGAUGUUUUCAUUA
rnacentral:rRNA from 1 species